UACGUAGGGACCAAGCGUUGUUCGGAUUUACUGGGCGUAAAGGGCGCGUAGGCGGCGUGGUAAGUCACUUGUGAAAUCUCUGAGCUUAACUCAGAACGGUCAAGUGAUACUGCUGUGCUAGAGUGCGGAAGGGGCAAUCGGAAUUCUUGGUGUAGCGGUGAAAUGCGCAGAUAUCGGGAGGAACACCGGUGGCGAAGGCGGGUUCU
rnacentral:rRNA from 1 species